rnacentral:rRNA from 1 species
UACGUAGGUGGCAAGCGUUGUCCGGAUUUACUGGGCGUAAAGCGUGCGUAGGUGGUUUGUUAAGUCUGUUGUGAAAGCCCCGGGCUCAACCUGGGAAUGGCAAUGGAUGCUGGCAAGCUAGAGUGCGGUAGAGGGUAGUGGAAUUCCCGGUGUAGCGGUGAAAUGCGUAGAGAUCGGGAGGAACACCAGUGGCGAAGGCGGCUACCUGGACCAGCACUGACACUGAGGCACGAAAGCGUGGGGAGCAAACAGG